GGCCCUGGUCUGGUGAGUGGCCCCUGUUCUCCCCGCGGCGGCCGGCCCAGCGCAGAGCCCAGCGUGAGUCCCAGCGUGGACCCCGGCACAGCACAACCAGCAUGCACGACGGGGCAGCCCUGGGCCCAGUGACAGGGGCAGAAAUCCAGAGUGUGCAGGAGGUUGCAGAUCAUGGACUAGAGAGCCAGCCUGUUUCUGCACAAGGAUCAACGUCAAGAAGGACGCGUAUCAAAAAAGUUAAUAGUGAUCCUGAUGCCUGGGUGGUGAGCCUUGAGGUGACUUCCACUCUCUUCUGUUUAUUUUUCUGCAUUAUCUGAAUGUUUUCCUGCAAACAAGGGUUGCCUUUAUAAAGCCAUUUUCAUCUUGGAGAAAAAGAAGCAUGCACUUGAAUGGUCCCCUAAUUGGCUCCCCACAGCUUACAAGCAGAGCAUCCCAGCAUCCCGAGGAGGCAUCAGGAGACUUCCCCGAGUGGCAUGCCGGCUCCUCCUCCUCACCAACCUCGCCCUGCACCUGCUCAUCCCCAAAUUCACCGGGCCUUUGCACCCUCUGUCUUUGCUGCCUCCGUGCUCUGUCUCCUUCCCAGCUUCAUCUGUGUUGGGGGCGCUGGGUCUUCUGGAUGGGGGGCCUGGGGGCCGCUCACCCACCCUUCCCAGCACGGCAAAGGACUCUGGCAUAUGGCUUAGGAAGAGAUAUUUGAGGGCGUGUGAACAGGACAGAGUAAAUUUUACACGAGAGCAACAGAAGCAAACCGCUGACAGCGUGGAAUGUCCUCUGGGCACAGAGCUCUCCAAUGGAGGAGGAGGCCGGUGUCAUUGGACAAACAGCCUGCAGUGCACCCCCACAGGGUGUGAGAAGUGGGGUGUGAGGGAAUCCCUGACUCUGCCCGCGGGGUGUGGGAGGUGGGCCUGGAGAAGAGGAGCUGGCACACGGGAGCACCCACGGUGUCCCGGGAGCACCUGUGGAACGGAGCUGAGCCACCCCAGGCUCUGAACACAAAGGGACUUGCUUUUAUCAUGAAAAAUGUGAGCCUGGAUCUCAACACCUCCGAACGCCUUUGAAAGGAGUAAUUGCUUGACUGCAAUUAUUUUAGGAGGUUUAACUGAGCCACAUGGGUGCUUUUUAAGAAUACUUCUUGAGCUAAAAUUCCGCCCACAGCCCCCAAGGGUGGGGGCCCUGACAGGUGCCCAGAGGCCUGCAUCUGAGUGGUGCUGUGGACACUUGGCUCAGCUGUGCCCCAAGAGGGGGUCUCAGGAGGGGAUUCUGGUGAGGAAGCCAGAGCCACCCAGGGAGGCAGAGGGACCUGGUUGCCAGGGAAAUGGCCUCCCUUGCACUCUGAGGGAGCUGGUCACCUCCUGGCAAGCACUGGGCAGGCUGAGGGGCGCUGCAUUGGCG
rnacentral:lncRNA from 12 species